UACGUAGGGGUCUAGCGUUGUCCGGAAUUACUGGGUGUAAAGCGCGUGUAGGCGGCAGACCAAGUCGGCGGUGAAAGCGCCCGGCUCAACUGGGCGAGGUCCGUGGAAACUGGUCAGCUGGAGGACGGUAGAGGCGAGUGGAAUUCCCGGUGUAGUGGUGAAAUGCGUAGAGAUCGGGAGGAACACCUGUGGCGAAGGCGGCUCGCUGGGCCGGUCCUGACGCUGAGACGCGAAGGCGUGGGGAGCGAACGGGG
rnacentral:rRNA from 1 species